UGAUGUUCAAUUGGCUCGACUGGAUGGAUACGAUCCACAUCACCUCCAAACUCGGACGGGAGGAACCUCUGAAACCCACCAAUAUUUCAUUGUAUAUAAUCAAUAAUCUUCACUUGAUCAGCUAUCUGUUCUGGUGAUCCAAGUGCAGAGAUCACUGCAUCAACUUGCUUGAUUGCCUUCACCAAGCUUUCAUGAUGAUGUAUGUCUCCCUGUGAAACAAUCACACGACUUUCAAGAUCAAUAUACUAA